rnacentral:rRNA from 1 species
UUUCAUUGGAGAGUUUGAUCCUGGCUCAGGACGAACGCUGGCGGCGUGCCUAAUACAUGCAAGUCGAGCGGGGUUAUUACAGCAGAUUCCUUCGGGAUGAAGCA